rnacentral:misc_RNA from 1 species
GAAAUGCGAUAAGUAAUGUGAAUUGCAGAAUUCCGUGAAUCAUCGAAUCUUUGAACGCACAUUGCGCCCUCUGGUAUUCCGGGGGGCAUGCCUGUCCGAGCGUCAUUGCGAACCCCUAAAGCACGGCUUGUGUGAUGGGCCCUCCCGCGUCUUGGUCGUCAAGACGGGCCCGAAAUGCAGUGGCGGCUUCGCGGUUAUCCGAUCAGCCAGAGCGUAUGGGGACUUUCUCUCUGUCACACGCCCGCGGCGCGGACCGACGCCUGUCGACCUUCAUUCAUCGUUUUCUCGGUUGACCUCGGAUCAGGUAGGGAUACCCGCUGAACUUAAGC